CUAUUAUAUGUCAACUGUGCAAUGCUAACUUCAAGGUCAACCAGAGGCGCUUUGUUACAUUCAGCCAAGGAAUCAGUGCACUCCACUGUUACUUGCUGCCACUUCAGGAGCACUGGACACUAUUCAAUACCUGUUUUCUAUCGGUGCUAACUGGAGAAAAACAGAUAUUAAAGGAAAUAAUAUAAUCCAUUUAUCAGUGUUAACCUUUCAUACAGAGGUUCUCAAAUAUAUAAUAAAAUUAAAUAUUCCUGAACUCCCAGUGUGGAAAACUUUGGUAGGCACCAUUCCUGCCUUAAUCAAUCUGUUAAAAAGUUCCAAAAUAAAACUGCAGUGCAAAACUGUUGGGUUAUUGAGUAAUAUCUCAACCCACAAAAGUGCAGUGCAUGCUUUGGUAGAAGCGGGAGGCAUUCCAUCUCUAAUCAACCUACUGGUUUGUGAUGAGCCUGAAGUACACUCUCGCUGUGCUGUCAUUCUAUAUGAUAUUGCUCAAUGUGAAAACAAGGAUGUUAUUGCCAAAUAUAAUGGAAUCCCAAGUCUGAUAAAUCUAUUGAACUUAAACAUAGAAAAUGUGCUAGUAAAUGUAAUG
rnacentral:sRNA from 1 species